UUUUUUUCUUCUAGGAACUCAUUGAGAAUAUCACAUUGCAUUGAGAGUUCUGUCACCUUAGGCUCCUCUUGACUGAGACAGAUUCUCAUACUUUCAUUGAUUUUUGAUAACCUUGAAAGUUUUGAGAACAGUUCAGCUAGGAAAGUUAAUUUUCAGUUCUUACUGAAGUGCUGUAUGAAACUGAAAUUUCCAAGGAACUGAAUUUUGUGAGCCAAAUGAGCAUGCAAUUCUUGUUUAAGAUGGUGGCCUUAUGCUGUUGUCUCUGGAAGAUCUCCGGCUGUGAGGAAGUCCCUCUAACUUACAACCUGCUCAAGUGCCUCCUAGAUAAAGCGCACUGUGUACUCCUGACAUCUUGUGGUUACAUCUUUUCCUUGAUCAGUCCAGAAAUUCUCAAACUCACUUUAAUCACUUUGCAGAUCCUCUUAAUACUCAAAAAUCUACACUUACUGUGGCUGACAGUUUCAAGCAGAUGUGUUCAUCGCAGUAGUGCAAGAAAAGAAAAGUAGAAGAACCCUGCAGAGAUUUGAUGGAACCCAGCUUCUAUUCAUUAAAACCAAUGGCAAAAUAUAAAGCAAAUAGGAGGUGACGAAGGUUACAAAGAUACGUAUUGUUUAUGUUUUCCCUGGGGUGUGCUGAUUGUCAGGCAUCAGUUCCCUGUGCCAUUCAUUCCCCAACACAGCAUGCAUCAGAAAUUUUAUCAAUAAAUGCUUUCUCUCUCAAUGUUCAACCUAUGCUGAUAGACCAUUAAAUACAGUUUUUGGGUUCACAGCUUGUCAUCAUCAUUUGUCUAUACCUGUGGCAAAGAAUAUCUAAUAAGAUACUCUCAGCAUUUUGCACACUUAAACUAAGAUGCUGAAUGCUGUAUUUUACGGAAUAAUCAGCCACAUUAAAUUUGGAGACUCAACAAGCAUGCUGUGAACAUUCAACAUUAGGUUUAAAUUUUAUUUUUAAAAGUUAAUAAUAAAAGGAUAUAUGUUAAGUAUUAUGAAACCCUGCAUAUAUUGUAAUAAAAUGGUGGAUGUGAAUGGACAAUAUAUGCAAUAAAAUUUAUAAUUUGAUUCUGA